AUUAAAUCCCAUGCGAUUAUUUUUUUCGCUUCAGCAAAUCGCACAAUUUUCUUUCUUGGUUUUUUUCCUUUUUAGAGAAAGGAUUUUAGGUUUACGAAUCACCACCUGCUGCUUAUUUUUUUUUUACCGAGAUUCGGUUUUAUUUGUGAAGGAAGCCUUUGAAAUCGAGAAGUCGCUCUCUCCUUAGCGAGAUCGGUUUUAUUGGCGGACAUUGCUCCGCCUUAGCGCGGUUAGGGUUCUAUUUGGGAAGAUUUUUUUGCUGCAAGAAUUCCGGAUUCUUGUGGUGAUUUAAUGCUGUAUGAUUUCCACAUUAAGGUCAUUGCAGCUUCCAGUGGGUACAUCGAGGGCUUGGCUUUGGGGACUGCUUGAUCUGCGAGGUUGUGUGGAUUGAAAGCUGGUGUUGCUGGAGAUUUGAGCUGAAGAUAUAUGCAUUUUGUUCUUGGGGUUUUGUUGAGGUACUUCGAUGGUCAGAAUCGUGCUUUUAUGUUUCCUACCUGUCACUUUCCUACUGAUUCAGCAAAAUGUGGCAAACGUGGGAAUCUUCACAUGAAUGUUCUGUAAAGUGCAAGCCGACGGUCCCUUGACUGACGCUUUCUUCGCAUCGCCAUUUUCGUUCUUGUAUUCCCAGUUAGAAGAUCUUGAAUAUAUUUUGUCCUAGAUCUCUUUAGUUGGUUGGUUGAAGGGAUCUAGGGCAAAUUCAGUUUUACAGAAGCUUUGUGAUCGUCAUUGCUCUCGGAAAUUAUGGAAAUUAUUAGCCACAUUCAUCAUAUUGCUAGGAGUUUUACACUUGUUGUGCUUUUCUUAGCAUGGAACUGUAAAGCUGAAACUCCCAGUGGUUAUUCUAACGCAGCAAGACAAUUGGAUUUACUUCUUCAAGAUUAUGCAUAUCGUGCUUUUGACCGCCCACACACUGGAAUCCCUUAUGAUGGUGCCGUCCCUUCUAAUCUUACUGGCAUCAAAGUAGCCGUGCUAAGGCUCAGGUGUGGAAGUUUGAGAACUAGAGGAUUCCACCGCUACAAAGAGUUUGAUAUCCCUACCGGUGUAAUUGUUCAACCCUAUGUGAAAAGGCUUGCAUUUGUCUACCAAAAUUUGGGAAACUGGUCAUCUUUCUAUUAUCCACUUCAGGGCUACACCUAUCUUGCUCCAGUUCUAGGGCUUCUUGCUUAUAGUGCUGCCAAUUUAUCUGCCAUUGGUUUGUCUGAGCUUGAUAUCAUGGCUUCAAGUUCACCCAUAUCGAUCAAAUUCAAUGAUGUGAACCCUGUACCAAGUGUAAUCCCAGCAAAGUGUGUGAAGUUUCAUUUAAAUGGUACAAUAGAGUUCACAGAUCUUAUCUCAGGCAAUGUUUGCAUGACAUUUCGUCAGGGGCACUUCUCCAUUGUGGUUAAUUCUUCCGGGAUUGUUCUGUCUCCUGCUCCAGCUCCUACACCUAUCCCUAGUCAUGGUAAAGGGCACAAAUCCAAGGUUUGGAAGAUUGUUGUUUCUGUAGUUGGUGGGCUUGUUGGAUUGCUUUUGUUGAUUUUGUUAGUAGCUUGGCUGGCAUCAUAUAGAAAGAAAAAGAAGUUGGCGGAGAUGCAAAGAAGGGAAGAAGUGGGUGAGGUUUUGCAGAUGGGGCUAGUUGGGAACACCCGGAUACCAGUUGCCCCGAUGACCCGAACAAAGCCUGCUAUUGAGAAUGAUUAUGUGCCAUGAGUUUUGAUUAGUUGGUAUUUGAUGGUAUGGAAAAACAGCCUGUGGGGUUUCUCUCAUCAAAGGUAUUUGAAGUGUACAGUCCUGAAGAGAUGAAAUUUGUUGUGUUCUUCAAGUGUUUGAUAUGGAUUCAGUUCAUUACUUGGCCCUCAUUUGAUAUCAAUAUGUGCAUUCUUCUAGGAGUUAGUCCAUUUUCAUAAUUUGGUUGUUCCAGUCCUGAUAAAUGCAUUGAUGCUACCUUGUGGGAUUCCGGAUGCUCGAUGGAAAAGAUGUUUCCUUCAGUGAUCAGAUAAAAUAUUUCAUUGCUUGUUGAAGCCAUCAAAUCAUCAUCAUCGGUCGCUAGCAUCGACCUUGGACUAGGCAAGCCCAUUCCCACAGAUGGAAUUGUUCGAUCGCUUUUUGAAAGGAGGGAAUGAUUUAGAUCAUCUUAUUCAGGUCAUUCAUCUGGCAGAUUUCAGUAUAACUAGCGAAAUGCUCAACCCAAAAUUUUUAAUUAAUUGUAUUUACACCCAUUAUGGGUAUAUUUCAACAAGGAGAAAUCUUAUAUUUGUAGGAUUAUUUUUGAGCUUUGAUCCCCAUUUGGAGUUUCUAAUCGAU